UUCCGGUUGAUCCUGCCGGAGGCCACUGCUAUUGGGAUCCGACUAAGCCAUGCGAGUCGAGAGGGUUCGGCCCUCGGCAGACUGCUCAGUAACACGUGGAUAAUCUACCCUUAGGUGGAGGAUACUCUCGGGAAACUGAGAAUAAUACUCCAUAGGUCUAGGAUGCUGGAAUGCACCUAGGUUGAAAGUUCCGGCGCCUAAGGACGAGUCUGCGGACUAUCAGGUAGUAGUCAGGGUAAAGACCUGACUAGCCUACGACGGAUACGGGUUGUGAGAGCAAUAGCCCGGAGACGAUAUCUGAGACACGAUAUCGGGCCCUACGGGGCGCAGCAGGCGCGAAAUCUUCACAAUGUGCGAAAGCACGAUGAGGGGAUCCCAAGUGUUGGUUCGUAAGAGUCAUCUGUUUCUUUGUCUAAAAAACAGAGAGAGUAAGAGCUGGGUAAGACGGGUGCCAGCCGCCGCGGUAAUACCUGCAGCUCAAGUGGUGGCCGCUAUUAUUGGGCCUAAAACGUCCGUAGCCGGUUUAGUAAAUGCCUGGGUAAAUUGUGUAGCUCAACUAUACGAAUACCGGGUAGACUGCUAAACUUGGAACCGGGAGAGGCUAGAGGUACUCCUAGGGUAGAGGUGAAAUUCUGUAAUCCUAGGGGGACCACCAGUGGCGAAGGCGUCUAGCCAGAACGGGUUUGACGGUGAGGGACGAAGCCCUGGGGCGCAAACCGGAUUAGAUACCCGGGUAGUCCAGGGUGUAAACGCUGCUCGCUUGAUGUUAGUCGGGCUCCGAGCCCAACUAGUGUCGGAGAGAAGUUGUUAAGCGAGCUGCCUGGGAAGUACGGUCGCAAGGCUGAAACUUAAAGGAAUUGGCGGGGGAGCAC
rnacentral:rRNA from 1 species